rnacentral:rRNA from 1 species
GAUGAACGCUGGCGGCGUGCCUAAUAUAUGCAAGUCGAGCGAACGGACGAGAAGCUUGCUUCUCUGAUGUUAGCGGCGGACGGGUGAGUAACACGUGGAUAAUCUCCCUAUAAUACUGGGAAAACUUCGGGAAACCGGAGCUAAUCCCGGAUAAUAUUUUGAACCGCAUGGUUCAAAAGAGAAAGACGGCCUUGCUGUAUCUAAUAGAGGGUUCCGCGCUGCAUUAGCUGGUUGUUAAGGUAACGGCUUACCAAGGCAACGAUGCAUAGCCGACGUGAGAGGGUGAUAGGCCACACUGGAGGUGAGACACGGACCAGACUCCUGAGGGAGGCAGCAGUAGGGAAUCGUAGGCAGUAGGCGAAAGCCUGACGGAGCAACGCCGCGUGAGUGAUGAAGGUCUUCGGAUCGUAAAACUCUGUUUUUGGGGAAGAACAUAUGUGUAAGUAACUGUACACAGCUUGACGGUACCUAAUCAGAAAGCCACGGCUAACUACGUG